GGACAACAUUAGCUAAAACGUAAUCUCAUUUCAGCUUUUUAGUCAUUGUUAGUGCAUGUGCUCAACACAUCUAUACCAGUCACGAAAAUAAAAAUCGGUUUUGUAAUGGGUCCAAUGAACAUUUUGUAGCAUGUUCAGGGCAAAUUUAUAUAUCAGGAUCAGGCCCCUUUUCAAUCUCAUUGGCAACUUAGAUGAAGUUAAUGUGUACACAUUGGUAGAAAUUCAAUUUGAUUGGGCCCCCAUUGCAUCUCCUUUAAUUGGAUUCCAUGUACAGAGUGGUAGAAAUUCAACUCCUAUCAUGAAUUUAAUUUGUGUUACCCAUUAAUGCAGUUGACUCCUUUGUCAACACUUCUACGGAGAUUGAUCUUAAGGCCAUAAACAACAAGAUGCACCUCACAAAUCUCGGUAGAUUGCUUGCUUCUAGGACUUGGAGUAUUUUGGAACAGAACAUUUCUCAUUCUAGAAUUCAAUUCAAUUCACUUAUUACAAUUCAAUUCAAUUGAUUUUAUAAUAAAAUUCUUGUUUUUAAAAUUAAUUUUUACCCUUAUUUAUAAAUAGAAAACCUUGUUUUAGUUAGGGAAGUUUUAGGCUUUCAAUAGCAAGUUUUAUUAAAAGAAAUGAAUUCUUGCAAAAUUCGACCACUUUUUG
rnacentral:misc_RNA from 1 species